UUUUGGUUGCGGGACAUCACCGUGUUGUUGUGUUUUGUCGAGUGAAAACUGCGAUUGUAGCCGGGGCUGCUGUCCAGGAAGUAGGGCGCUGUGCGCUGGUUCUCUUGCCCAUAUAUGGAAGAGGCGGUGACAGAGCACACCUGGUGGGGAUGAGACAGAUGUACUGAAGGUUCCUCAUCAGUGAUGCAGAAAACUUCAUGUCUACAGAGUGUUGAUCAGUCAGAGAAAUGAUUGAAGUGAAACAGAUCUUACCAUCAUGAUGCUGACCAACAGCUCACCAAUCAUCCCUCCUGAUGGAGACCAGCACCAUCUAUCUCCACCUCUGAGAACCUGCUGAUGUCUCCUGAGCCUCCACAAUCAUUACAGCAUCUAAAUGACUUUAACAAACUGAAUUAUGUCUUCUUGACACAAACACAGCAGAAGAGAAAAUCCACAACUUGCUGCCUGGAUUUGUU